rnacentral:rRNA from 1 species
CCUACGGGGGGCUGCAGUGAGGAAUAUUGGUCAAUGGACGAGAGUCUGAACCAGCCAAGUAGCGUGAAGGAUGACUGCCCUAUGGGUUGUAAACUUCUUUUAUAUGGGAAUAAAAUGUUCCACGUGUGGGAUUUUGUAUGUACCAUAUGAAUAAGGAUCGGCUAACUCCGUGCCAGCAGCCGCGGUAAUACGGAGGAUCCGAGCGUUAUCCGGACUUAUUGGGUUUAAAGGGAGCGUAGGUGGAUUGUUAAGUCAGUUGUGAAAGUUUGCGGCUCAACCGUAAAAUUGCAGUUGAAACUGGCAGUCUUGAGUACAGUAGAGGUGGGCGGAAUUCGUGGUGUAGCGGUGAAAUGCUUAGAUAUAACGAAGAACUCCGAUGGCGAAGGCAGUUCACUGGACUGCAACUGACACUGAGGCUCGAAAGUGUGGGUAUCAAACAGGAUUAGAUACCCGAGUAGUC